rnacentral:lncRNA from 1 species
UUGUGACCUCUCGGGAGAAUCAAUGACUGCAUCAAAGAUGUAGUGCUAGUACAUCUGAGACUUCUUAAUUGGCUAGUUGUAAAUAGCCCCACCCCAGGAUACGUUUAUUUUUCAAAUGAUUCAUAUCGUCAAGUGCACCCAUUCAAAAUUUCAGCCCAAUCAAAUGAUCGGCGGCUGCUAAUAUAUCUCGUGGUAACAAAAAUGUAUUGUUCUGGGGUAUAUCAAGGUUCAGUCUUCGGUUCAUAUUUCGUCGACCAAUCCUUCCUAAUUCACAUCUUUGUUGAAAGAAUUUCUUUUGUAAUUCCUUACAUAAGGAUUCAGAAAAUACCGGAUCGCCACCUACACAAAUUGUUGAUAAAACUCCAAAACGGCAUUUUCUUUUGACCCUAUUUUUUUCUCUCCUUAUUACUCAGAAAAGACAAAAAAAAUUCAGUAUAGCAAACAUUCUCUAGAAUUUCUCUUAGAUUCAAACCCAUAGCUGAUGAUAGAACUAGAAGAGAUAUUUUUUGUUUCCUACUUACACGAGCCCAUAUCCUUGCUUUUCUAUCAAUUUCUAAUUCUAAUUUUCCUCUCGAAUAUAAUAUUAUGGUGUCGGUAUAGACCGAAAUUCCGUUAUGGUCCAAUUCUAAUCGGUAAUAAAUACCGGGACUUUGCAAUAUUUGAUUGAUCACAAUUCUAUAUAUUCAAUUGACUAUAGAAGUUCCCAGGGAAUUCAUUAGAGGAAUGUUUCCGAUAAAAAUUGUUUGAUCUUGCAUAUUCCUACUAUUUUUCCAAAUUAAUCCCGCGGAUACAUAUAAUUCAGAAGAAUAUGUGAGUGAUUCAUACACAGCAUCUCUUUCCUUUAUCAAGGGUUCGACCAAUUGAUAUGUUUCCACAAAUAAUUGAAAUUCAAUUUCUUGAUCUGUAUCUUCAAUUUUUGGAAACUUAUAAAGUUCUUCCGUCAAACCUUGAUCAAUGAACCUACAAAAUCCUUCAAAUUGUAUCUGAUUAAAUCCAGGUAUUGUAGAUAUUCCCUCAUUUCCAUCCCAGAGCAUUUUUAAUUUCCCAUUUAUCAAAAAAUACCACUAUUGGCUCAUUCUUCAUCUAAUUAGAUAGAUUAGAUAAAUGAUCUAGCAAUGGUGGCAUUUCAAUUUUGUUUACCGAAUCACAUGAAAUUUUACCCAACUCCAUAUCUGGAAUGUAUGAAAUACGUAUGAACGGAGGAAGAAAGAUAAUUUUCUACUUAAAUUGAAUUGGAAUUUAUUGGAAUUUUCAACAGAUACAAAUGGAAAGAAAUUGAUAAAACAUCCCUAGAAACGGACUUCUGCUACUUAGACUUAUUAAUUAAGUUUAUAGGAUUUUGUAUAGAAUAUAAAAACAAAAAUGAUUCCAUUUCUACCAUUAUUAUGAUAAUACAUAUUCCAACCUGCUUGAAUACCAGAAAAAUAAAUGGAUUGGACAUUUGAUCUUUUCGCUGAGAUAAAGGCAUAAAAAUCAGAAAGAGAAUAUAUAGAAUUAGAAUCGGUUUUUUAGCAUUUAACCCCCUUUUAUGUUAUGGAUUUCGUUGUUCAAAAAAUGAUUCGCAGAGAAGAGAGAGAUUUUGUUUACGGAUUUUUGAGUAGAAUACGAUUGUGAAGUGUAUAAGAAAAGAAGGUUUGUAUGGCUUAAACACGUGUGGAGAUAUCUAUAAUAUCCGUCUUUCUUCUCUUUUCUUGUUUUAUUGUCGUUCUAUGUUCUAUUCGGGGCAACACAGGUUGUGCUCUAUGAAAACAAAAUUUAAAUUUUCUAUUCAAUUCAAAAUUCAAAUUGAAGUAUGAUACUUUUCUUAUAUCUAAUAAUUCUAUACUGGAAACAUAUAUAAAUAAUAUAUAUCCAUCUAACAAUUUCUCUUGGGGGGUUUACAUAUACUCAUAAUUGUUGUUAUAAUUAUUAUUAAUAAUGAUAAUUUAUAAUUGAUAAGGAUUUUUUGAUUGAAAAAAUCCAUACUGAUUAGUUAUAUAUCAAGUUGUAUUUUCUUAUGUCAUUAGGAAAACAAAAAUUGGAGAUUCAAAUCCAAGAAUUGUUCAUGCAUUCUAAGUCAAUAGUUAAUGGUUCCUAUUUUCAUAAAGUUGAAUUUUUGAUUUUGCGACUGAAAAUCCACAUUUGAUUUUUCAAUAGAUUUCAAUAGAAAGGUAAGAGAAAGUUUUGAACAUUAUGAAUUUUGAGAUGAACUUAAUCGAAAUUGAAAGGAUGAAUCAAACACAAUCAAAAGGGAAGAAGGAUUAGGAUUUCUAUGACUUUUAGGAAAAAUUUAGGAAAACAAAACUCAAGGUGCAAGUAUGAUAAAAAACAGUUCAGUAAUCUGGGAAAGUUUUCAUCUAUUUUGUAUUUGUAGCAUUUUGGCGACAUGGCCGAGUGGUAAGGCAGAGGACUGCAAAUCCUUUUUUCCAAGUUCAAAUCCGGGUAUCGCCUGAUCAACAAAAAACUAGAAAUCUCUUCUUUUCUUCUGUUGAUAUAACCCGCUGAACGAUUCCCCAACAGAAGUAGAGAAGGCAGACUGUUGAUACUUGUUUGAUUCUAAACAUCUGGUCUGGGGUUUUUUCUAAAAAAAUUUAAAUAUUCUUGCAUUGCAUAUCAUUGCAUAUUUAGGCUUAGGUUAGGCUUCAAGGAAAUAUUCGAAUGCUAGAGGGGCUAUCAAAACUUUGCAAUUACCUUCUACUACAAAUAAAAAUUUUAUAUUAUUAAUCCAUUGUAUAAUGGCUGGACCUUGGGUUAGAUUGGAGAGCCCGAUAGGAAAUAUAAAUAUUUGUGGAAGAGGGCGGAAGAUACUUUAUUAUAUACGAGGAACUCACAAAAAUCUCUGAGUGCUCAAGCAUCCAAUCAAUUGAAAUAAGGGUAAAAAAAAAAGAAUAGGACCUAUUAUUCCUACAUGUUCCAUUAGUAACAUUCCUUACUGCGGAUUUUGCUUGUGUUUAAUCUUUCCCGAUUAGAAAUCAUAUAGGAAUUUCUUAUAAAAUGAGCGAAUUUAUCGGAUUGGUUUAUUAAUAGUCUUCGUUCUUUUUGACUCUGCGCCAUUGAUUCCACUAUUAUUAGUGAGGAAUAAUGGAACAAUUCCUUUAUAUUUAUAGAGAUAGGGGACAUAAUUCAUAUGGAUAUAGUAAGUCUUGCUUGGGCUGCUUUAAUGGUAGUCUUUACUUUUUCCCUUUCACUCGUAGUGUGGGGAAGGAGUGGACUCUAGGGGUCCUACUAAUUGAGUUAAGAAAGCAAACUGUAUCAAUAUCAAUUGCUUUCUAGAUCGUUCUGUAACACGUUUGGAACAAAAUAAAAAUAUCUUCAUUUUGAAAUUCCAUUGGACUCGACUGGAGUAAUGUAUUAUAGGAAUAUCCUCCUUCAAUCAAAGAGCUAUUUCAGCGAUUCCCAUGUUUGUAGUUCGAAAGGAGAGGAACCCAGGAAAUUUAUUUGAACCUAAUUCUUCCUAAAUUUUCUAGUCCAAUCAACGACCUCUUACUAGGUGAUAUUGAUGAGAGCCGGACCCUUUUUUUAUUUGUUUCUUUCUUUACUAUUCAAAGAAGAAGUUUUUUGUUAAGUGUAUACGCACUUUGUAUGAGAAAGAAGGGAUAUAAACAUAAUGGUUGUCUAACGAGAUACUAUGCAGAAUAAGGUUGUCAGGUGGGUCACAUAUUGCGCAUUUACUGCUUUCAAAUUUUUCAAAUUCGAUUUAUACUUUAUCGACUUAUUUCAUAUCAUGGUUCAGGCGUUAAAAAUCAGUGAGGUUUACUCUUCCUUUUCGAUGCCCGUGGAACUACUGUCAAUGGUUUACUCAAUUACUUAUUGGGAAUGUUAAAAAAAAAGAUUACUACGUGAUUUUUUGAAUAUGCCUAUAUCUAUCGCUUUUCCUUCAUUGAUUUGAUUCUUUCAAUAGAUACCGAGAUUCAUAUUGGAAAUAAAAAAUAUAGUAAUUCAAACUAUAAGACAUAAGAGUAAUUCAGAUUGAUCAGAACAAAUAGAUAUAGCAAAUAAAUGGAAUUGGAUGCUAUGUCACUCCCAUAUAUGGAAUUGAUAUUCACAUAUAUCAAGAUAAUAUUGUGGAUUGAUCUAUAGAUCCAUAUCAAAUGCAGCCUCUAUCUUUAUUUUAGUCCAGGGAGCAGCUACAAUCUAACUAAUAAAUAGUAUGGUAGAAAGAAAUAGAUGAAUCUUUCUACCAUACUAUCUAUCUAUUAGAAUACUGCCGAUUCUAGUCCACUCAUUUCAUUUAAGACAUGAAAUUGGAAUCUUUUUCAUUUUAUUUCGGCAAUUUUGGCUAAGAACUCAGAAGUCAAGUUUCAUUCAAAUUAGUUAAUAAUUAAUCGUUUUGACUGACUGUUUUUACGUAAAUGAUAAGUAGAAAAGCGGUAGGAACUAGAAUAAAUAGUGCAGUAGCAAUAAAUGCAAGAAUAUUUACUUCCAUAAUCUCAUCGGUUUUUUACUUCGCAAUAACUCGGGAUUUAAUCCCAUAGAGAUGAUAAAUCUUUGGCCUGUAAAUUCAAUGAAUGAAUAUUACCUCUCGAUGAUCUUGAAUCGGAUCAAUAUCAUGAAUAACAAUAUCUGAACUAUCAAAUCAAUUCGUCGUCGAGAAUUGAAUAGUAUAACAUAGGAAGUUCUUUUAUCCAUACCGCCCCAAACUUGGAUUCCUGACCCAAUCCAACCAAAAUUCCUUUAUUUAUCAUUUUUUAUCAUCUGUUCUUUUUUUCUCUCUAAUCUAUCUAGUUCCUUCUUGUACAAUCAUCUGAUGAAGUCUCAUCAAACAGCUCUUCCACUUCCAGUGGUCACAUAGUUACAAACCCAAACAAACAAUAAAAGCUAAAUGGAAAAAGAAAGGAGUUUAGAACGAAACUAUUUUUGACUUGGAAGACAAAGAAGUGUGAUAAAGAUGCGACCGUAUAAAAUGAAUAUUCAUCAAAUUUACUAUUUUUCAAUUUGUUCUUUCGUCGAUGGGGCCUUAAAACAAAAUGAAAAAUCGGAAAAAUGAUUCAUUCCCCUUUCUAAGAGGAGUAGGAUCUUUGGUUGAUCUGUCCUUCCCCCUCCUUUCUUCGUAGAUUAUUAGCCCCGGGACACCUAUACCAAAAGCUCAGUGUGCAAUUUGCAUGAAAUCUAUUUUUCAACUUCAAACUAGUAAGUGAGGUUCCAUAAAUCCGUAUCCAGAAAAAUAAAUUGUUUUUUUUUUGUUUUUUCUGGAAAGUAUUUUCUUAUAUUCAAUUUUGUAUUGGAGAAGAAAAGAAUUCCCUUUGUGUAUGCGCGCCUCAAAAAGGUAUAGUACUCGAUUCCAUUACAUGCAUCAGGGUCAAUUGAAAAAGCCAGCAUUUCUGUGAAUACUAACUAUAAUGCUACCAAUAAUUGUACUAAUCCAACCGCAUAUUACCCAAAGGAAAGAAAAAAGAAAUAAGGAUUUCCCCUUUGCUUUGACAAUGAAAUUCUGCCCCCCGUCCCCUUCAUAAAAAGGGAGAGAUUUACAUUGACAGGGAGGUGCUCUAACCAAUUGAACUACAAUCCCAGGGAAAUAUGGGAUCUAGCAGAAAUUUGAUUCUUUUUUAUCUCCGGAUCGGGUAUUUCUGAAGUACAAAGGGGUUAUAUCAUCUCAUGGUGGAUUGUCGAAUUAUUGGGCUGAGCUGGAUUUGAACCAGCGUAGACAUAUUGCCAAUAGAUUUACAGUCCAUCCCCAUUAACCGCUCAGGCAUCGACCCAGGAAGAAUCAAUUUUAGAUUUAUUGGUAAUCCAAGAUCAACUUCCUUUCGUAGUACCCUACCCCGAGGAGAAUUCGAAUCCCCGCUGCCUCCUUGAAAGAGAGAUAUCCUAAACCACUAGAUGAUGGGGGCCCGCUUGACCAACAGCCAUCAUACUAUGAUCAUAGUAUGAUCAGUUUUUUGAAAUUGUCAAUAUAAUCGAAUGAUUCUAUCCGAGGGAUCUUUCCCCCUUUCAAAAUUGCAUAUAAUUAUUUUUUAUUCUGAUGAAUUAUUCAUUCUAAUCACAAUUAGAAAUCUAAAAUCUAGUAGUAGUAUUUUUUUUAUUUUUGAAUUAUUUCAAUUGAAUUUAUUUUGAUUAUUUUAGUUUCGAUUAUUUUAGUAUUUAGAAUUUUAUUUCAAUUUCUUUCACUUUCAUUUGAUUCAUUGUUAAGACGAGAUAUCCUUAUCUCCCUCCCACCAAGAUAGGAAAUUAACAAAUGAGAAAUCUAGUAAGAUCAAGCAGAAAAUUGUUUUUUAUCCAAGCAUUUAGUUCAAGAAACAAGUAGAAUCUCUUCAUUCCAUGAUUUGAUGAAAUAUCUUGAAUUUUAUGUUAGAUUGCUAGGUGUAUGUACAUGUAUCAAUCAAGUGAAUUUUGUUCUGGUGGGAUCAAUUCAAUAAAAGGAAAAAAGUAAUUCGAGUCGGUCUUGAAAUACUUCAUUGCAUUUUCUCCUAGACUUCCUAGGUAAAUCCAUGACCCACUAGACACUAUGUAUCUACUGCAUGUAUUUAAUGCAUAUAUACUUAUGUUUAUAAUAUAUUUACAUAUAGAUAUUUUAUCCACAUAGUGAAUAAUUCCGAAAUUAACUAAAAAAGGCCCUUUUAACUCAGUGGUAGAGUUACGCCAUGGUAAGGCAUAAGUCAUCGGUUCAAAUCCGAUAAGGGGCUUUGUAAAACUCCAAUCUAGUAUUCAUAUUUAAGGGGAGAAUUGUAUUUUGAUUUGUAAUAAAAAAAGUAACUAAUUGGAUAAUACAUUAUCAUUAUACUUAGUUAUAAAGUUGGACAUUUGUUUAGUCAAUUUUCAUUACUAUGAAUUUCUGAAUAGUGAAAAGUCACUUCUUGAAUCACCCACCAAAUAUUCCUAUUUUCCAUUAUACCAACCAAAUCCAUUUGAAAGGUUAGAAAUCAAAAAAAAUAAAAAGGAAGUGGACCUGACCUAUUGAAUCAUGACUAUAUCUGCUAUUCUGAUAUUAAAAUUCGAUAGAGAUGAAAUUGGAGCAGUUGAUUUUUUUUAAUUUAAUUUUUUUGUUUUGGACUGCACAAGAAUUUGUCGAUAUUUCUGAUUAAAUCUUCUUGUUACUAGAUUUUCUAUAGGAAAAAUUAUAGGAAUAAAUUGUUAUUCCUUUCCUCUACAGAUAAACCUUUCUUCCAAGUCACACCAUAAGAGCUAUUUAUUAUCUUUCUUUUUGAUUCUAGAUCAAAGAUUAAUUUCUAUCUAGAUUAUAUAUCUAUCUUAAGUAGAUUGUAGAUUUCGAUGUAUAUCUAUCAGAUCGUGGCUUCAUGUAACAAAUAUUUCAAUAUCGUUGCAUCCGGUAUUUUUGUUUUGUUCCAACAGUGUGAUGAAGAAUAGAUCCGAGAAAGAGACUUUCAUUUCCAGUCUCCUAGUUAUUUUAUUUAUUUUAUUGAAUUUUAGAUUUGCUAAAGGGAAAAAUAGUAGAUUAUCUCUUUUUCUAACAGACAAAAGAAUCUAAAAAUAAAUAUUUGCUCGAACUUUCUUUUUUCUUUCGAUCCGUGGAAAGAUAUACUCUGGGGUUUUAGAUUUAUUUAUAUGAAGUAUGAAGGAAAGGGACCGUUUGGUCCUUGAAGAGUUCUUUCAAAACAAGGGAUUGAUUGAAUUGUCUUAAUAAGAUAAUUCAUGGUUCAUAUGCUUAGUCAGAAGGAAUAAUCCAAUGGAGUUCAUGGAUUUACCUAGGUCAGUUUAUGGGCUAAUCAAUAAAGGAUUUUUAUCUUCGAAACCCAUUGGAAAGGGCAGUGCAAGAGAAAUCAUACAAAAAUGAUCGAAUCUUCGAAUGCCCCGAAAAAGAUAUGAGGUUCUCGAAAAUGGUCGAAGUAGUUGAAUAGGAGGAUCGCUAUGACUAUAGCCAUUGGUAAGUUUACCAAAGACGAAAGUGAUUUAUUUGAUAUUAUGGAUGACUGGUUACGGAUAGACCAUUUCAUUUUUGUAGGCUGGUCUGGUCUAUUGCUCUUUCCUUGUGCCUAUUUUGCUUUAGGGGGUUGGUUCACAGGUACAACCUUUGUAACUUUAUGGUAUACCCAUGGAUUGUCCAGUUCUUAUUUGGAAGGCUGCAAUUUCUUAACUGCCGUGGUUUCUACUCCUUCUAAUAGUUUAGCACAUUCGUUGUUGUUACUAUGGGGUCCUAAAGCACAAGGAGAUUUUACUCGUUGGUGUCAAUUGGGGGGUUUGUGGGCUUUUUUUGCUCUCCAUGGAGCUUUUGGCCUAAUAGGUUUCAUGUUACGUCAAUUCGAGCUUGCUCGAUCUGUUUAAUUGAAACCUUAUAAUGCAAUCGCAUUCUCUGGUCCAAUUGUUGUUUUUGUUUCUAUAUUUUUGAUUUAUCCAUUAGGUCAGUCUGGUUGGUUCUUUGCACCUAGUUUUGGUGUAGCAGCUAUAUUUGGAUUCAUCCUAUUUUUUCAAGGGUUUCAUAAUUGGACCUUGAACCCCUUUCAUAUAUAUGAUGGGAGUUGCCGGUGUAUUGGGCGCUGCUUUGCUAUGCACCAUUCAUGGUGCUACCAUAGAAAAUACUUUAUUUGAAGACGGUGAUGGUGCAAAUACAUUCCAUGCUGUUAACCCAACUCAAGCCGAAGAAACUUAUUCAAAGGUCACCGCUAACCACUUUUGGUCCCAAAUCUUUGGGGUUGCUUUUUCCAAUAAACGUUGGUUACAUUUCUUUAUGUUAUUUUUACCAGUAACCGGUUUAUGGAUGAGUGCUCUUGGAGUAGUCGGUCUAGCCCUGAACCUAUGUGCCUAUGACUUUGUUUCUCAGGAAAUUCGUGCAGCGGAAGAUCCUGAUUUUGUGACUUUAUACACCAAAAAUAUUCUCUUAAACGAAGGUAUUCGCGCUUGGAUGGUGGCUCAAGAUCAGCCUCAUGAAAACCUUAUAUUCCCCGAGGAGGUUCUACCACGUGGAAAUGCUCUUUAUUGGAACUUUAUCCUUUGCUGGUCAUGACCAAGAAACCAUUGGUUUUGCUUGGUGGGCCGAGGAUGCCCGACUUAUCAAUUUAUCCAAUAAACUACUAGGGGCUCGUGUAGCCCAUGCUGGAUUAAUCGUAUUUUGGGCCGGAGCAAUGAACCUAUUUGAAGUAGCCCAUUUCGUACCCGAGAAGCCUAUGUAUGAACAAGGAUUGAUUUUACUUCCCCACCUAGCUACUCUAGGUUGGGGGGUAGGCCCUGGGGGCGAAGUUAUAGACACCUUUCCAUACUUUGUAUCUGGAGUACUUCAUUUAAUUUCUUCUAUAGUAUUGGGCUUUGGCGGCAUUUAUCAUGCACUUCUAGGACCUAAGACACUUGAAGAAUCUUUUCCCUUCUUUGGUUAUGUCUGAUAAAAUCGAAAUAGAAUGACUACAAUUUUAGGUAUUCACUUAAUCUUGUUAGGUCUAGGUGCUUUCUUCUAGUAUUCAAGGCUUUUUAUUUUGGGGCUGUAUAUGAUACCUGGGCUUCGGGAGGGGGAGAUGUAAGAAUAAUUACCAACUUGACCCUUAGCCCGAGUAUCAUAUUUGGUUAUUUACUAAAAUCCCCUUUUGGAGGGGAAGGAUGGAUUGUUAGUGUGGACGAUUUAGAAGAUAUAAUCAGAGGACAUGUAUGGUUAGGUUCCAUUUGUAUACUUGGUGGAAUCUGGCAUAUCUUAACCAAACCCUUCGCAUGGGCUCGACGUGCACUUGUAUGGUUUGGAGAGGCUUACUUAUCUUAUAGUUUAGGGACUUUAGCCGUCUUUGGUUUCAUUACUUGUUGUUUUGUCUGGUUCAAUAAUACCGCUUAUUCUAGUGAAUUUUACGGACCUACUGGACCAGAAGCUUCUCAAGCUCAAGCAUUUACUUUUCUAGUUAGAGACCAACGCCUUGGGGAUAACGUGGGAUCUGCUUAAGGACCUACUGGUUUAGGUAAAUAUCUAAUGCGUUCCCCAACUGGAGAAGUCAUUUUUGGAGGAGAAACUAUCCGUUUUUGGGAUCUAUGUGCUCCAUGGUUAGAGUCUCUAAGGGGUCCAAAUGGGUUAGACUUGAGUAGGUUGAAAAAAGACAUACAACCUUGGCAGGAACGGCGUUCCGCAGAAUAUAUGACUCAUGCUCCUUUAGGUUCUUUAAAUUCCGCGGGUGGUGUAGCUACUGAGAUCAAUGUAGUCAAUUAUGUCUCUCCUAGAAGUUGGUUAGCUACCUCUCAUUUUGUUCUAGGAUUCUUCUUCUUCGUAGGUCAUUUGUGGCACGCGGGAAGGGCUUGUGCAGUUGCAGCAGGAUUUGAAAAAGGAAUUGAUCGUGACCUUGAACCUGUUCUUUUCAUGACCCCUCUUAAUUGAGAUGAGACAGGAGAUCCAAUGCUUGAAUGAAGUACAAAUCACUUUGAUUCAAUCAUACAUCUUGGAAUCAGCUUAAGUAUUCCUUUUUUCUUUUUUUGUUUCAACUCAUUUUAUCUAAUUUAUAUCAAAUCUAUUUUUCUGGCUUGGCUAGGUUGCAUAGCCAAGCUAUUCCCCUUUCUUUUGGAUAGCAGAUUGGGCAAAGCCACUAAAGAAAAAAAUCUAUUCCAGUAGCAAAAAAGGAGAGAGAGGGAUUCGAACCCUCGAUAGUUCUUUGUUCAAAACUAUACCGGUUUUCAAGACCGGGGAUAUCAACCACUCAGCCAUCUCCCCGAAAGACUAUUUUUAUUUUAUUCCUCCGAAUAGAACAUGGCUAUAGGGGUGGAUACCCCCACUAUCUGUAGAAAGAUCUCAGGUGCGAACCCACCGGUCGAUCUAUCUAUCCGUAUAUAGAUAUAUGAUCUAGCAUGCCCAUUUGUGAAAUAAAAAAUAAAAUUCCAUUUCUCUCCUCUCUCCGCCCCACUCCAUGUACGAAUAAAGUGCGAAAGGGGGAGUAGUAAUAAGUCAUAUAGAAUCAAUGGAUUCAUGAUAAAGUAAAAUCCCUCGAUGACAUAUUUUAUCACAAUUAAUAUUUGUCUUUCUGGUGGGUAUCCUUAAUUCUCUCAUCUCUUGAACCUAUUCGUCACAGACCCAAAUGCCCCCUUAAUUUUUCUCGGUUGUGAGACACAUUAAAUUUGAAUCUAAGUCCCCAAAGAAAAUGCAAAUCAAAUAAAGAAAACACAAAAAUUAGAGGGGGGUCAAACUUCUUGAAUAAAAAGAAUACAAUUAAAAAAAUAAUUGGAAUCGUUUUGAAGAAUAUGUGUCCCGGAACUGCACAAAUAAGAUCCGGUUAUAUAUCAUAUAUGUGGGUACAUAUUAUGUAUCAAGAACAAAAAAAUGCGGUUAUGGUCGAAUGGUAAAAUUUCUCUUUGCCAAGGAGAAGAUGCAGGUUCGAUUCCCGCUAUCCACCCAAGAUCCAAGAUAAAGUAAUUUUUUGAAUAUUUAUUAUUUAAUUUCAUAAACAUCAUUAAAUGUAUCCUUAAAUUAAGGAUUUGGUACAGUUGGCCGUGAUAGUGUAGUGAUUCUAUCCCCCCCUACGUUUUCUUUUACCUUCCACCCCUAAAAAGUGAAAGGCGGGAAUUAAUUACUAGUUACCAAAGUCAACCCUAAAAUAGUUUGGAAAAACAAAAUGUUGCGGAGACAGGAUUUGAACCCGUGACCUCAAGGUUAUGAGCCUUGCGAGCUACCAAACUGCUCUACCCCGCGCCGAAGAUAAGAACUUAAAACUAAUAGACAAACAAGGAUAAAAUGCGCCCCUCCACCCCAUCUGUACAAAUAGAAUAGCCCAUUUAUACCAACUUGAUCUUGUUGCUCCUGGAAACAAACAUGCAUGAACCAUUUCACGAAGUAUGUGUCCAGAUAGUCCAAAAGCUCGAUAGUUAGCUCUCGGCCUUCCGGUCAAAAAACAACGUCGAUGAAGGCGUGUAGGUGCACUAUUCCGUGGUAGGGAUUGUAACUUUCCAUAAAUUUCCCAUUUGUCACUCAACGACGGAACCUUGCUUAUUUCUUUUUUUGGGAUCGACGAAUCGAAUUGAUAUUUCUGUUCCAAUUUUUGCCUCUUCUUCUCCCUCUGAAUCAAACUUUUCUUUGCCAUAAUGGUUGAAUUCCUAUUAGUAUCCAUGAUAAAAGUCGAAUCCUAGAUGUAGAAAUAGAAGAAGGUGGACCCCCUCUCCGUUGAAAGAAAUGAGAUUAUCGCGGAUACACACAUUAAUUAACCAAAUUUGCCCGACGUAGAGGCAAUCAAGAAAGCUGCAUAAGUGAAUAUAUAACCUACAGAAAAGUGAGCUAAUCCAACCAAUCUUGCUUGUACAAUGGAAAGGGCCACUGGUUUAUCUCUCCAGCGAAUCAAAUUGGCCAAAGGUGUGCGUUCAUGAGCCCAUGCUAAAGUUUCAAUCAAUUCUUGCCAAUAUCCACGCCAAGAAAUUAAGAACAUAAAUCCAGUAGCCCAAACAAGAUGUCCAAAUAAGAACAUCCAUGCCCAAACCGAUAAACUAUUCAUACCAAAGGGGUUAUAUCCAUUGAUAAGUUGUGAAGAGUUUAACCAUAAAUAAUCCCUUAACCAGCCCAUCAAAUAAGUGGAAGAUUCAUUAAACUGUGAAACGUUACCCUGCCAUAAUGUGAUGUGCUUCCAAUGCCAAUAAAAAGUAACCCAUCCAAUAGUAUUUAACAUCCAAAAAACUGCCAA